CGGGGACGCGCGUGCGCACCAGCCCGCCCAGCGGCACCGAUGACUUUCUGUCCCUUGGCACUCAGCUGUCACCUCUGCUCCCCCAGGGUCAGGGAAGCUCUUGGGAUAUCUCUCUUUGGAGCGUGAGUACAGCUGAAACAUUUCCAAGGAAAAAGCCCCCUGCGUGGCCACUUGCGUGCUGACAUGAACUUUUCAAUCUGUGUGGAAUUUCUGGUCCACAGAUGACAGCAGCCGUACCCCACGCGCUGCCACUGCCGGGACGGAGGGGACGGAGAGUCAAGGUUGAAUCCCAGCCUGCUUGCAAGAGGGAGAGAUGACAAACAGAAGGCACAAGUGCCCACGGCAGGGGGCAGUCGCCCCUCCAGGCUGCUUUAAAGAUCGCUUGUUCCAGCACGGUUGCAGGAUGCCCAGACCAACAGGGCCAAGGGGCAGCGGCGAAACAGACAGGAAAGCUGGGAACUCCGUGGCUUUGAACCCUGAUUUACUGUGCGUGUGUGGGAUCGUGCAAAAUCAUCUCAGACUUUGUGCCUGCCGGAAUCCAUUCAAAUUCUACCCAACUUUCAAGACCUACUUCUAGACUGAACUCUACCGUUGAUGAGUUUUGGUCUCUUGGAGCAAAAGCCUGUCACUUUUCCCUGGAUGCUGCUUUUCCCUAAGCACACAGAAGGAUAGCACUGGGUAUGAGGCCUUGCACUGCUCUCGGGGGUUAUACACUAUGCAUUUCUAGCCUGUUUCUCAGGAGAAGCAGGAAAGUAUCCAGGAGGCCACUGAGCACCCAUGAGGAACUUGAAGGAACUUUAAAUCAGCCAAUAAAUAUUUGCUGAGCAAUUACAUGUUCUAGAAACUGUGCCAAGAUGCUGGAGACACAGCUGAGAGCAAAGGGGCCAUGAUCCCUGACCUCCUGGAGCCAGCAGUCUAGAAGGGGAGCUGAUCAUUAAUCCGAUCAUCACACAGAUCUGUGUAAACUUAGCAUCAAGAUAAGGGUAACAAAGGAGGACUCCAAGAAGAGGAGCAGGAAACUCAAUCUAGACUAGGGGUUCUGGGAAAGCUGCUGGAGAAAGUCAAGUUCAAGUGUUCACCUGUAGGAUGAGCAGGAGUCAGCUCUGAGUGUGUGUGUGUGUGUGUGUGUGUGUGUGUGUGACAGCCUCAGCUUCCUCAUUUGUAAAAUGACUAUACUAGCCUAGUUUAACUUUGGAGUCUAUAGAAACAGACUCUAAAACGAGGACUCUUUGGAAGCGAAUUCAUGAAGAACUGUCCUCCAGGGGGGAAAAUGGCAGAGAAGAUGGGGAAUGGGACUGCGAAGAGCAGGGGCCAAGCAACUUUGAGGAUGGAGCCGUCUCCUGGAGAGGCCUGCGGGUCACAGAAUAAGCCACACGGGUAACUGGGACCACUGUGCUCUCCCACACCUGUUAGUUUCACGUAAGUCCCAGGCACUCUUGCUCUCUGGGCUGGGAAGCAAAGUGGUUCCAGUAGCUCUAGAACUGCUCUCCAACACAGUCUUGGUGCAGGCUGCUGGGUAGGCAGGACUGUGGUGUGCAGAGUGCAAGGGAGUGCAACCCAGGUUAGGUUAGGGUUAGGUCCAAGUUCAAUGCCACGAUGCCAGACGCUAAGUGAGCACUCAGUAAAUAUUAGCUCUCAUUGUCAUUAACAUUUACCAAGCAUGGCCUGGGACAGGCUCUGUUUUGCCCAGUUGUCUCUGCUGCCUCAAAUCCUUCAGGGAAAUGCUGCUUCCCACCACUCCCUGCCGGGUCUCCUAAGACAAACAUACAUGUAAAUAGGGCCACCGCUAUUUAUAUUCCCCAGGAUUGUCAAAUUUGGCUGAGCUCAUAUGGGAACUGUACAUUUGCCCUGUCAUCCUCCCUAGCAUCUGCUUUCACCAGGGUUGCUUCUCCCCUCCCUCCUGUGCUCCUGGAGCUCAAAAACGUACGGACUCAGCUGCUUCUUAAAUGUGAUCUGUGGGGCCAGCGUUGUCAUGCAGUGGGGUGAAGCCACCAUUUGUGACAGGCAGCUCAUAGUGGAGUGCUUGUUCAAUUCCUGGCUGCCCUACUUCUGAUCCAGGUCCCUGCUAAUACACCUGGGAAAAUGGCAGAGGAUGGCCCAAAUGCUUGGACUCCCGCCACCCAGUGGGAGACCUGAAUGGAGUUCCAGGCUCCUGGCUUCUGCCUGGCUUCAACUGUUAAGGCCAUUCAGGGAGUGAACCAGAACCAGUAGAUUGAAGAUCUCUCUAUGUGUGUAGUGUGUGUGUGUGUGUGUGUGUGUGUGUGUGUGUCUCACACUCUGCCUUUCAAAUAAAUAAAUCUUUUUAAAAAAAUAUGUGAUCUAUGCUAACCUAGUGUAAUUCUCAGGCCUUCAAUUCAUGGGAAAGUUGAUGGAAUUUUUAGAUCAGAGGGACUUCCUUUAUCUGCUCAUCUUGCUGAGAAAUUGCACAGUUGGUCAUCACUUCCGAAUCAGUAUUUUAAGUAAAAAGAGAACUAUGGACACUUGUAACAGCAAGGAUGAAUCUCAAAAACACUAUAUUGAGUGAAAAAAAAAAAAACAAAUACAAAAUAAUACACAUGGUGUGUUGGCCAUUUAUUGGGAAUUCUAGAGCAGGCAAAAUUAAUUGAUGAUGACAAAAGGCAGAUCAGGGAUUGCCCAGGGCCAGGCACUGGGGCAACUUGCGGCUUGGCAUGAGGAGGCUUUGGGGAUUGAAAAUAAUCCUGUCUCGGUUGUGAGGGUGGUUACA